UACGAAGGGGGCUAGCGUUGCUCGGAAUCACUGGGCGUAAAGCGCACGUAGGCGGCUUACUAAGUCAGGGGUGAAAUCCUGGAGCUCAACUCCAGAACUGCCUUUGAUACUGGUGAGCUUGAGUCCGGGAGAGGUGAGUGGAACUGCGAGUGUAGAGGUGAAAUUCGUAGAUAUUCGCAAGAACACCAGUGGCGAAGGCGGCUCACUGGCCCGGUACUGACGCUGAGGUGCGAAAGCGUGGGGAGCAAACAGGG
rnacentral:rRNA from 1 species